rnacentral:rRNA from 1 species
UACGAAGGGGGCUAGCGUUGUUCGGAUUUCCUGGGCGUAAAGCGCACGUAGGCGGACUAUUAAGUCAGGGGUGAAAUCCCGGGGCUCAACCCCGGAACUGCCUUUGAUACUGGUAGUCUUGAGUUCGAGAGAGGUGAGUGGAAUUCCGAGUGUAGAGGUGAAAUUCGUAGAUAUUCGGAGGAACACCAGUGGCGAAGGCGGCUCACUGGCUCGAUACUGACGCUGAGGUGCGAAAGCGUGGGGAGCAAACAGG